UUGCAAUUUGUCGCUUUGGUUGAAGGUUGCUUUCUUGACAGUCAAGAGUAAUGGAGGGAAACUUUAGGUGCUUCCUUGAAUGACUGAUUUUUUUUCUAUGUAGAGACAACAGUUCUAUGAUUGUUUGUAUGUGGACUGUAUCGAUUAAAUCUUUUGUUUGUUAAAAUCUUCUAACAUUUUUAAUGUAAGUAAUAUUAAUCGUCUAUGACAUAAUUUUCCUUACAAUUUCUAA